UGGUGGAGCGAUUUGUCUGGUUAAUUCCGAUAACGAACGAGACUCUAGCCUGCUAAAUAGUCUGCAGAUUGCAUUGUCCGCAGCACUUCUUAGAGGGACAAGCGGCAUUUAGCCGCACGAAAAUGAGCAAUAACA
rnacentral:rRNA from 1 species